rnacentral:tRNA from 1 species
GGUCCAAUCGUAUAGUGGCUUAUUAUGCUGUCUUAGGGCUCAAACACGGAAUAGAACCGUGAGCUGGAUGACAGAGGUCCCCGGUUCGAUUCCGGGUUGGACCC